rnacentral:tRNA from 1 species
GCCGGAGUGGCGGAAUUGGCAGACGCGCUGGAUUCAAAAUCCAGUGGGCUUCGCGGCCCGUGUGGGUUCGAGUCCCACCUCCGGCA